rnacentral:rRNA from 1 species
UACAGAGGUCUCAAGCGUUGUUCGGAUUCAUUGGGCGUAAAGGGUGCGCAGGCGGCGCGGUAAGUCGGGUGUGAAAUCUCGGGGCUUAACUCCGAAACUGCAUUCGAUACUGCCGUGCUUGAGGACUGGAGAGGAGACUGGAAUUUACGGUGUAGCGGUGAAAUGCGUAGAUAUCGUAAGGAAGACCAGUGGCGAAGGCGGGUCUCUGGACAGUUCCUGACGCUGAGGCACGAAGGUCAGGGGAGCAAACGGG